CCCUGCUCCUUGCACACACCGCCCGUCGCUUCGCCGAAGUUGGUUCUUGGCGAGGUUGUGCCUAAUUGGCGCUAUCGAACCUGGGGUCAGCAACGGGGGAG
rnacentral:rRNA from 1 species